GAACCAGUUCUACAAAGUGAGCACAAUAAACCGCAUCUAUUGCCGAAAAAAUGCAGCGAGGAAAUAUACAUAACUGCAAAAACUUUGUGAUAGUCUCAUUUUUGGUAGACUUUGCCAGAAGCCAGUUAUCCUUCUCUAAUUUCAGCCUCUGUAAAACUCUCUGAACGUGCUCUAACUGUUUCUUCUCCUCUUCAAGGAGCUUGUCCUGAAGAGCAGUGCAACGUUCUUUUUCUUUUUUCUUUUUAUUUGGAGGCAUUUCCUGAUUGUCAUCUAUGGCUUUCAUCUGGACUUUAAGUUUAUUGACUUCUCUGUCAUAGCUGCUAUGUGGGACAGCAAGGUCAUACAUAGUCAGAGACCAG
rnacentral:lncRNA from 1 species